rnacentral:rRNA from 1 species
UACGAAGGGGGCUAGCGUUGCUCGGAAUCACUGGCGUAAAGGGUGCGUAGGCGGGUCUUUAAGUCAGGGGUGAAAUCCUGGAGCUCAACUCCAGAACUGCCUUUGAUACUGAGGAGCUUGAGUCCGGGAGAGGUGAGUGGAACUGCGAGUGUAGAGGUGAAAUUCGUAGAUAUUCGCAAGAACACCAGUGGCGAAGGCGGCUCACUGGCCCGGUACUGACGCUGAGGUGCGAAAGCGUGGGGAGCAACAGG